GCUAAAAUUAAUUGUGAAUUGUAUUCUAUCGAACGUGAACGAUACGUGUACAUACGAAGAGUUUUAAAAACCUUUCACGUCAUGCUUCUUGCGAAAGCAACCGUUCGUAAGCUUUCGCAAGCGUUUUGAGCAAAAACUCUAAAAUAUUGGCAGUAUUACCUGAAAAUACAAUAGCAGAAUCUACUAAAUUAUCGUAUAACAUCGGAAUUUUACCCCCAAUAUCUAUUUCUUCAUCAAAACUUGACUACAAAACAGUCAAAACUUCCAGCUCAGUUUUCCCGCCAUAUUUAUCCUUGCCAUAUAAGACAACGUCGCCAUAGUAACCACAACAAACUCGUUACCAGUUCAUUGCAUCACACAUCGAUCGGCGCGCCUAUAGCCGUUUCACCGCCCUCUAUAUAAGCGCCCUGGUUUCAAUUUUGUCUCGAGCGCUUGCUGUGCUUCGUCGAGUUCAGUUGGUUUUGUAGCCAUCGAAAACUGCGAAUUCUUGCUCUUGUUCGAGCGUUUACACAAAUAUCUCGUCGCGAGGUGCCACGUGUAGGAAACUACUGCCCGUCGCCCAGACAAUAAUAAUAAGAAACACAGCAAAUCACAGUUUAAAAUCACAAUUUCUCUCUCAAAUAUUCUCACAAGUAAAACUACAAAAUUCCCGAUCCCAAUAACAAAUAUAUUCCCCCAUAAAGCACAUGUAAAUAGUCUCUGUCUAUUGGCUAACCCAAACAAUGAAUUAGCGCCGUCACUUCCGGUGAAUUAGUAAUUAGGUUAAUAUAAUAAACAUGAACUAUAUUAUUUAUGUUAGUUGAUUAGUAUAGCGUCUGCUGUUAAUGUUUACAUUAGUUCCGACA